AGGACGAACGCUGGCGGCGUGCUUAACACAUGCAAGUCGAACGGUAAGGCCCCUUCGGGGGUACACGAGUGGCGAACGGGUGAGUAACACGUGAGCAACCUACCCUUGACACUGGAAUAACAGCUGGAAACAGCUGCUAAUACCGGGUACGACCUUCUGCGGCAUCGUAGAAGGUGGAAAGCCCUGGCGGUCAAGGAUGGGCUCGCGGCCUAUCAGCUAGUUGGUGAGGUAACGGCUCACCAAGGCUUCGACGGGUA
rnacentral:rRNA from 1 species